CCAACUAAAAGAUGGAGGCGGAAGGUAUGGAUGACUGUCAGAAAUGCAUCCCAGUCUCUGUGUGAAGAGCCUUGGCACGUGCUGGGCCCUCCUUAAGACUCUGGGGCACCUUCCAGGUCCUAGUGCACAUGUUGACGAUGGCCAGAGACAUCCCUCACUCCACCAGAAACCCCAAACAGGCUUGCUUCCUGUUCCCAGACUGACAUCUGCUGGGGACCACAGGCUGGCGGGCUUGGGAGGCAGGCCCGCAGCCGGCUGCCACUCGGCUCCCUGGGGCUCCUCAGAGCCUCCUAGAAGCCUGCGCUGCUGGGGGCCGGAGUUUGACAACCUCCAAGGGAGCCCCACUUUCUCCUGAGCUUCUAGCGGUGGAGUUAAGGCUCAGAAUGACACCGUCUUGGCACAGGAUCCCCAGCAGAUCACUGGUGUGCUGGCAAAUGAUUAAUGACCAACUUGAGAAUUAAAUCUGGGCCUUGAUUAAUAGUGUUGCAACUUCCAUGAUGGAAACCCAAAAGUCAUUCCAGUUUGAGAGUCCCCUCAGGCCUGCAGAGGACUUGGUUAUUUUGUCAGUCACAGCUCUGACGUCCUAACAAGCAGGGGUGAGCCAGAGGGCUCCUCUCCACGACAGACUCAAUGAACUCACGUGCAAAACUCUACCUUGCCAGACAGUAACGAGGCAGCUCAAGACCCUGUGCUCUCAUGUGCCAACCCAUCAGCUUCUUGACUCAUCACAAUAGUUCUGCGAUCAGUGUUUGUUCUUUUGAGAAACACUUUCCCUGCAUACAACAGACUGGCCCUGCGUGCCCAUGGUCACAGCCCCGCCCCCCCAGUGAUGGGAUUACUGGUGUGCACUGCCAAGUACUUAGGUUCUUCUCAGUGACCAUACUCAUGCCAACAUGAUUGAUAAAAGGAAUGUAGAGAAGACAGAGUCCCUGUGCUGAGUUGGCUAUGCUCUGUGAUGGCCCCACAUAAUUCCUGUGUGCUGGUGUUGACACCUCUCCUCUGUGGAGGGCUAUGUAUCCAAUGAGGUAGCUGGAAAAACAACACUGUGUGACUUCGAAGCCUGCAUGAAAGACAGUACAACUUUUGCUUUGUUCUUUCUUGGGCUCUCAAAGGCGAUCUGGAUGAGUGUCACACUUUCCUGAAUGACUCCUGGAGCAGGGCUAUGGAGUCCAGGUGGCAAGAAACCAAGAGUCUCAAUUGGCUUCUGUGAGGAUGGCCCCACCCCCACCCCAGAAGGGAGCCUGCAGCUCAGCCAAGCCCAUCCAUGGCUGCAGCACAGUCAUGCUGGAGCUUCUGGCUCAGAGAAACCGCUAGAUGAUGUUGUUUUAAGAUGCUAAAUUUGGGGGGUAAUUUGUUACGCCACAUGAUAUAAUUAAUGCAAAACCUAAUCUGUAGGAGCAUUUUAACUUAAAAGGGAAGAAAAGAUGAAAAUGAAUAAAGAGAAAUAUGUGAAACCAACCAGUAUGUGGAUAAUUAUGUACUGAUUGUUACAGA